GAUGAACGCUGGCGGCGUGCCUAACACAUGCAAGUCGAGCGAACAGACGAGGAGCUUGCUCCUCUGACUGUGUCGGGGGACGGGUCAGUAACACGUGGUUAGCCUACCUCUAAGACUGUGAUAACUUUAGGGGACCGGGUCUAAUACCCGAUGAUAUAUUGAACCUCAUUGUGCAAUCGUUAAAGACGGUUUUUCUGUCACUUAUAGAUGGAUCCGCGCCGAAUUAGCUAGUUGGUAAGGUAACUGCUUAACAACGCGACGAUGGGUAGCCGCCCUGAAAGGGUGAUUCGACAGACUGGAAGUGAGACACGGUCCAGACACCGACGGGAGGACGCAGUAGGGAAUCUUCCGCGAUGCGCGAGAGCCUGAUGGAGCACAACCGGGUGAGUCAUGAAGGUCUUAGGAUCGUAAAGCUAUGUUAUUAGGGAAGAACAAAUGUGUAAGUACCUAUGAACGUAUUGACGGUAUCUAGUCAGAAAGCCACGGCUAACUACGUG
rnacentral:rRNA from 1 species